AAAGCAGGUUGCAAUUACAGUGCUUCGUUUUGUGGAAGUACUGACAUUAUCCUGCUGAGAGAAAGAAAACCCGUGUUGGUCAUUUUUGAUUUUGCCUCUCUUAAGGGUGAAAUCAGGACAGAUUGACAUGGACAGUC